UGUCAGGCGGGCAGUUUGACUGGGGCGGUCGCCUCCUAAAAGGUAACGGAGGCGCUCAAAGGUUCCCUCAGAAUGGUUGGAAAUCAUUCAUAGAGUGUAAAGGCAUAAGGGAGCUUGACUGCGAGACCUACAAGUCGAGCAGGGUCGAAAGACGGACUUAGUGAUCCGGUGGUUCCGCAUGGAAGGGCCAUCGCUCAACGGAUAAAAGCUACCCCGGGGAUAACAGGCUUAUCUCCCCC
rnacentral:rRNA from 1 species